AACUCAUCAAGAGCAGUGGAGGGACUGGCCCUGUGAAGCUGCGGCAACCAUUGGCAUAUGAAGAUGUGCCGAAACGGUGCUAAUUCCUGAAGGCUAUCCGCCUUAAGAUGAGAG
rnacentral:ncRNA from 2 species